AACGAACGCUGGCGGCAGGCUUAACACAUGCAAGUCGAACGAGAUCUUCGGAUCUAGUGGCAGACGGGUGAGGAACACGUGGGAACAUCCCUUUCAGUUCGGAAUAACGUUGGGAAACUAACGCUAGUACCGGAUACGUCCUUCGGGAGAAAGAUUUAUCGCUGAAAGAUUGGCCCGCGUCUGAUUAGCUAGUUGGUGAGGUAACGGCUCACCAAGGCUACGAUCAGUAGUUGCUCUGAGAGGAUGAUCAGCCACAUUGGGACUGAGACACGGCCCAAACUCCUACGGGAGGCAGCAGUGGGGAAUAUUGGACAAUGGGCGCAAGCCUGAUCCGGCCAUGCCGCGUGAGUGAUGACGGCCUUCGGGUUGUAAAGCUCUUUUGUCCGGGAAGAUAAUGACUGUACCGGAAGAAUAAGCCCCGGCAAACUUCGUGCCAGCCGCCGCCGUAA
rnacentral:rRNA from 1 species